rnacentral:rRNA from 1 species
UUUAUGGGGUGACUGCGUACCUUUUGUAUAAUGGGUCAGCGACUUAUAUUCUGUAGCAAGGUUAACCGAAUAGGGGAGCCGAAGGGAAACCGAGUCUUAACUGGGCGUUAAGUUGCAGGGUAUAGACCCGAAACCCGGUGAUCUAGCCAUGGGCAGGUUGAAGGUUGGGUAACACUAACUGGAGGACCGAACCGACUAAUGUUGAAAAAUUAGCGGAUGACUUGUGGCUGGGGGUGAAAGGCCAAUCAAACCGGGAGAUAGCUGGUUCUCCCCGAAAGCUAUUUAGGUAGCGCCUCGUGAAUUCAUCUCCGGGGGUAGAGCACUGUUUCGGCAAGGGGGUCAUCCCGACUUACCAACCCGAUGCAAACUGCGAAUACCGGAGAAUGUUAUCACGGGAGACACACGGCGGGUGCUAACGUCCGUCGUGAAGAGGGAAACAACCCAGACCGCCAGCUAAGGUCCCAAAGUCAUGGUUAAGUGGGAAACGAUGUGGGAAGGCCCAGACAGCCAGGAUGUUGGCUUAGAAGCAGCCAUCAUUUAAAGAAAGCGUAAUAGCUCACUGGUCGAGUCGGCCUGCGCGGAAGAUGUAACGGGGCUAAACCAUGCACCGAAGCUGCGGCAGCGACGCUUAUGCGUUGUUGGGUAGGGGAGCGUUCUGUAAGCCUGUGAAGGUGGCCUGUGAGGGUUGCUGGAGGUAUCAGAAGUGCGAAUGCUGACAUAAGUAACGAUAAAGCGGGUGAAAAGCCCGCUCGCCGGAAGACCAAGGGUUCCUGUCCAACGUUAAUCGGGGCAGGGUGAGUCGACCCCUAAGGCGAGGCCGAAAGGCGUAGUCGAUGGGAAACAGGUUAAUAUUCCUGUACUUGGUGUUACUGCGAAGGGGGGACGGAGAAGGCUAUGUUGGCCGGGCGACGGUUGUCCCGGUUUAAGCGUGUAGGCUGGUUUUCCAGGCAAAUCCGGAAAAUCAAGGCUGAGGCGUGAUGACGAGGCACUACGGUGCUGAAGCAACAAAUGCCCUGCUUCCAGGAAAAGCCUCUAAGCAUCAGGUAACAUCAAAUCGUACCCCAAACCGACACAGGUGGUCAGGUAGAGAAUACCAAGGCGCUUGAGAGAACUCGGGUGAAGGAACUAGGCAAAAUGGUGCCGUAACUUCGGGAGAAGGCACGCUGAUAUGUAGGUGAAGCGACUUGCUCGUGGAGCUGAAAUCAGUCGAAGAUACCAGCUGGCUGCAACUGUUUAUUAAAAACACAGCACUGUGCAAACACGAAAGUGGACGUAUACGGUGUGACGCCUGCCCGGUGCCGGAAGGUUAAUUGAUGGGGUCAGCCGCAAGGCGAAGCUCUUGAUCGAAGCCCCGGUAAACGGCGGCCGUAACUAUAACGGUCCUAAGGUAGCGAAAUUCCUUGUCGGGUAAGUUCCGACCUGCACGAAUGGCGUAAUGAUGGCAAGGCUGUCUCCACCCGAGACUCAGUGAAAUUGAACUCGCUGUGAAGAUGCAGUGUACCCGCGGCAAGACGGAAAGACCCCGUGAACCUUUACUAUAGCUUGACACUGAACAUUGAGCCUUGAUGUGUAGGAUAGGUGGGAGGCUUUGAAGCGUGGACGCCAGUCUGCGUGGAGCCGACCUUGAAAUACCACCCUUUAAUGUUUGAUGUUCUAACGUGGACCCGUGAUCCGGGUUGCGGACAGUGUCUGGUGGGUAGUUUGACUGGGGCGGUCUCCUCCUAAAGAGUAACGGAGGAGCACGAAGGUUGGCUAAUCCUGGUCGGACAUCAGGAGGUUAGUGCAAUGGCAUAAGCCAGCUUGACUGCGAGCGUGACGGCGCGAGCAGGUGCGAAAGCAGGUCAUAGUGAUCCGGUGGUUCUGAAUGGAAGGGCCAUCGCUCAACGGAUAAAAGGUACUCCGGGGAUAACAGGCUGAUACCGCCCAAGAGUUCAUAUCGACGGCGGUGUUUGGCACCUCGAUGUCGGCUCAUCACAUCCUGGGGCUGAAGUAGGUCCCAAGGGUAUGGCUGUUCGCCAUUUAAAGUGGUACGCGAGCUGGGUUUAGAACGUCGUGAGACAGUUCGGUCCCUAUCUGCCGUGGGCGCUGGAGAACUGAGGGGGGCUGCUCCUAGUACGAGAGGACCGGAGUGGACGCAUCACUGGUGUUCGGGUUGUCAUGCCAAUGGCACUGCCCGGUAGCUAAAUGCGGAAGAGAUAAGUGCUGAAAGCAUCUAAGCACGAAACUUGCCCCGAGAUGAGUUCUCCCUGACUCCUUGAGAGUCCUGAAGGAACGUUGAAGACGACGACGUUGAUAGGCCGGGUGUGUAAGCGCAGCGAUGCGUUGAGCUAACCGGUACUAAUGAACCGUGAGGCUUAACCUU